rfam:Gossypium raimondii Chr09_contig_202, whole genome shotgun sequence.
ACUUUAAAAUUUUAUUUAUCUGUACUGUUAAAAAUUUGUGUGGCUGAAGAAAUAAUCAUAUAACUACACAUGGCAUGUUAUGUGUGCCUCGUACUGAUGUACAAUAAUAAAAUUUUAACGGUAGAAAUAAAUUAUAUUUUUAACA